AUGCAGAAAUAUAGAAAAUUCAGCACUGUAUAUUCACUUUUAUUAUUUUAUCAUCAUAUCACCUUUAUGUUACAUUCUGAAGGUGUUGACCAUGUACAGUCUACAGCCCAGGCUGCAGACAUAGACUCGGAAAAUUAUGCAUCGCUGCAGUUCUCUCCACACCAGCCUAUACGAAAAAUGAAAAGCCGUGAAGAGGCAGCCUCUGUCGUCUAUGCAUCUGUCCGUCAAACAAGAAACAUAAAACAAGGAUCUCCUCAUUCUUAAUGCUUGUCAAGUUUUUUUUUUUGGCUAUUAAUUUUUUAAAAGGACUAUCACAUUACGUGGUCUCAUAUGAGCAUUGGAACAUUCAGUUGCAAGACAAUAUACUCAUUUUUUUUUUUUUUAUUGAUUAAAAUUUAUUUUACUAUUUUAAACGUUUAAAGUUGACAAAGUGAUGGGGGCAAAUGUCUGUUACUGUCUUUUGUAGAUUUUUUUUAAUGUUGUUGUAAAGGGCAAUAGGAGUGUGUGGUCAUCAUGUUAUUCAGUGUCUAAAUUGUACACAUUAAAACAUGGAGAAAAAAAUAUUUGUGUGUUUACAAUAACUUACCAUUAAAUUCAGCACCAUGGAGAGGGGCAACAUUUUGUAAAUGAGGAGAAAAAACAGCUUGCCAUAACCGCCCCCCACCCUAAACAAACAACAACAACAACAAAUGUAUUAUUUAAAAAAAAAACAACAACAGUGACCCAAACAUUAAAAAAGAUAUAGUAGAUGUAGCAUAUACAUACUAGUAUGUAGUAUGUGUGCAGCGUUAUAUUGAAAUGUACUACUAGUCACCUCCAGGUGAUGGCAGUCAGAUGUCAUUGCACAUAAACACAGAUUUACAGAUAAUACUCUUUAUUCACUAUAUACUGUAGUAACAGCAUACAAUAGCUUUCAUUUAAGAAACUAUAAUCUUCAUACAACACUCCUUCAAAUGAUUGUUUUCUUCUUCCUUUUUAAGACUGCUCUGAUGUUUUAGUAUCAUCAUACCAUGUACUUGUCCUACAGUGUUGCAGUCAUUUUAUAUUAUAGUUCACAUGUCAUAAAAUAUUGUAACAUAGUUAUUUAGAUUUUGCAUGGUGUCACCCUAAGCAUCUCUUUCAUUUCAUUAAUUUGGCCUUCUGGUAAGAUUAGAAGUCUACUAGUUGCAGCUGUUUACAUACUAUACUUAGCAGCUUACUUCAGGAAAGGGGCAGUAAUUUGUGAAUGCAGAGAACCAAUAGAGUCACAUGAUGAAGUCAUACUGUACCUCAGAGAGCAAAUUGAUUCAUAGACUCAGAACCUCAUGUAGACAGAAGUGCAGA
rnacentral:lncRNA from 1 species